rnacentral:lncRNA from 1 species
CCGUGUCACGCGGCCCCUGCUGACCCCAGCCCGGUCCACCCAGCGGGGCCGAGCUAGGGCCCCGGCCCGGGCCCUGCGGAGCGCGAUGGUCCCCCGGGGCGACCCCUGAGCCCCUUGCCGGAUCCGGGGCUCUGCCUCUGGGCCGCGCCCCCACCUGAGAGUCGUCACCAACUUCUGCCCGGGAACUCCACUCUGCCCCUUCUCUUGGCCCAGGGCGACCUCGGCAGCCCUGACAGCCCGGACCCUCCGGUGUGCCCAGAAGGGUCCCCCGGAGUGGUCUGCGCCUCCCUGGAUGGAGGCGCCUCCAGAAGGAGCCGGCUGAAUGCUCUGGCCUUCACCUUGCAGCCUCCGCUGACCACACCUCCCCGAGUGCAGGGGUUGCCGCCCCGCCCGCCCGCCGGAAAUGCUGUCCCAGCACAGCCGGGUCCCAGAGACUCCGGUGUGACCGACAGGAUGGAACUGGAGCCGGCAACAGAGACCUUCGUGUUGGAGCUUCGAUGUCUUGCGGAUGGAGGCCCAGGGCCUGACACCCUCUCAGGUGGCAGCGGUGGUAAGGAGAGUCAAGAGGAGGAAGAGAGGAGCGGCAGCCCACAACUACCAGCAGCGUCAUCCCCAAGAGAGGCCAGUAACAUCACUGAGGAAGCCCAUUCAGGACAGCAAGAGUUGCAACAGCAACAGUUAGAGCAGCAGCCAGAACUGCAGCAACAGUCACAGUAUGAGCCACAAAAGCAGCAACCACGGAACCAACUAUUAGAACAUCAACCAGAAUUACAACAGGAGCAGCAGGAUGGGAAACAGCAGCUGCCUCAACUUCAGCAAAAAAAGGAACUACAGGAAAAUCACCAGUCCAUGAUGCACCACCAACCGACGCCACAGCUGCAGCUAAUGCAACAGCAUGGACAGGUGGAAGGGCAGGUGCAAGAGCAACAAUUGCAGCAGCAGCAGCAGGAACAGUUACAGCAGCAGCAGCAGCAGAAGCAGGUGCAAGAGCAACUCUUGCAGCAGCAGCAGCAAGUGCUACAGCAGCAACAACUGUUACAACAGCAAGAACAACUACAGCAGCAACAGUUCCAAAAGCAGCAGAAGCAGCUCCAGCAACAGCAACUACUGUUGCUGCAGCAGCAGGAACAG